CAGAAAGCUCAGACACUGAAGAUGAAGGAGACAAGAUGUUGCAACCACGAGGGCUUUCAAAAUCUCGUGGGCAUCAAACACCAAAUCCAGAUGAGCGAUUUUUCCUGGUGGCAGAAUCCAGUUUGAAAGAGCUGCUAACCCAGUGCCCCUAUUGUGGGACCGAUGAUGUUGACAUCAACACCACAACAAGGGGGACAUGCUUGAAAGCUGUCAUGCGUUGCAAGUGUGGGAGGGAACGGUCUUGGCACAGCCAACCUUGGCUGGGGGG